UGGGGUGUUAUUCAGUUAGUGAUUUAAAAGCAACUAUUAAUGUUUUUUAAUCUAUCAAAUUCUAAAGUUUAAAGAUAAUUUAAGUUGAUGGAUUCUAAAAUCUAUGGAGUAUGCAUUAGAUUUUGAAUUCAAUCAUUUAUUCAUGAGACUCCGUAAUAAAUGAUUUGAAAUCAAUCUAAAUUACAAAGAAUUUUAAAAUCCUUAAAAGUUGAGUAACA
rnacentral:lncRNA from 1 species